AUUUUUCUCUUACUUAUUUACCGAGCAUGUAUAUAUAUCAAUGUCGUUGAUUGAUUUGCAUUCAAUUUUUGUUAAAGGAUAUGGUAGAUCACUUUCUUGUAGCAGCGUAUGAAAUGAAAGGAGAUUCUAGUUGCAAUCCUAAUUAUUUCUAUGAUUUGCUUUCCACCUUCUUGACUAAAUCAGAAAUCACCUUAUCAGAGAUGGAUAAAGCUUCGUAUGUGUACAUAAUAUAUAUCUCGAUAUAGAUUUGAGUAGUUAUUAACCAUAUUUG
rnacentral:lncRNA from 1 species